UUCAAACUCUGGUUAAACUUUUAAGUUAGCAGAAAAUCUGAUAGUUUUGGAUUUUUUUUUUUUGCGAUAAUCCCUCCCACUUUCCUACUCUCUCUCAAUUUGUCGCCCCAAACUUCUUUCCCAUUCCCUUUCAUUCCCAUUCCCUUUCACGUUUUGUUUCUCUUUUAUUGUUUCUUUCCUUUUUGUUCUUCCAAUCUUUCUUUUCCUUCCAUGUUUUUGCAUUUGUGGUGCUGUCAAUUUUUGUGCUAUUGUCUGUGGGGUGAUUUUGAGCGAGUUGAUCAUAAUUUAAUCUUGGUGUUUUGGAACCCUCGUUGUUGUGUUGUCAUCAAAAAACGACCUGAUGUGUAUUUUCUGUCCCGAAAAACAAUGAACGAUGCGAAGCCGAAAAGCAUAUUAUCAACGCCACAUGGGCUCGUGGGCCAAUUUUUUGUAAAAUUUAAUUAGGGUCGUAUUUGAACUGCCUUUCGAAGUUAGCCACAUCGUAGGGACUGUUAUGUGAUAUGUAUGACUUAUAUAUAUGAAAUAUGAUAUUCUGCUUUUAUA